rnacentral:rRNA from 1 species
GACGAACGCUGGCGGCGUGCCUAAUACAUGCAAGUCGAACGCAUUUUCUUUCACCGUAGCUUGCUACACCGAAAGAAAAUGAGUGGCGAACGGGUGAGUAACACGUGGGUAACCUGCCCAUCAGCGGGGGAUAACACUUGGAAACAGGUGCUAAUACCGCAUAAUUCCAUUUACCGCAUGGUAGAUGGGUGAAAGGCGCUUUUGCGUCACUGAUGGAUGGACCCGCGGUGCAUUAGCUAGUUGGUGGGGUAACGGCCUACCAAGGCUGCGAUGCAUAGCCGACCUGAGAGGGUGAUCGGCCACACUGGGACUGAGACACGGCCCAGACUCCUACGGGAGGCAGCAGUAGGGAAUCUUCGGCAAUGGACGCAAGUCUGACCGAGUAACGCCGCGUGAGUGAAGAAGGUUUUCGGAUCGUAAAACUCUGUUGUUAGAGAAGAACAAGGAUGAGAGUGGAAAGUUCAUCCCUUGACGGUAUCUAACCAGAAAGCCACGGCUAACUACGUG